AUGCCCAUUCAGCACGCAGCAACGCCCUCGAUCCCCUCUGCCUUUUUCCUCGUCACCUCGCUCGCCACCGCUUCCUCGCCAUGGCCCCUCGCAACCGCUCCUCCCGCUGCCUCCCGUGCGCCGCCCUGCCAUGGCCGUGUCUUCCUCCAGCAAGGCCGCCGCGCCAAGUCCCUAGAGCCGCACGCCCGUCGCCCCUCUCCCCUCGCGCCUGCGACCCGGAGCGCCGCGUCUCCGGCCGCUCCCCUGCAGCUUCUCCUCCUCCGCCAGGAGCCUGUGGAGCUGGGUGGCCAUUCCAUCCUCACGCCCGUCGUCCCAUCUCGCAAGGCCGCCGCCGUCGUCUUCGGCAGGAGUAGGAGCUUCCAUGGCAGCCAGGCCGCAGUACCAGGACGACCUCUCCCUGCCUUGUCCGGCUGUCGCGUCGUCAUGCUCCAGCGUCGUCUCGAGCUCUUCAUCCUCGACCUCCAUGCCGUACCGGAGUCUCUCGUCGCUGCUGCACGGUCCAGCCUCCGGCCGUCGUCGCCACCAUGGCUUCCUGACCUCUUCACAGCACGCGUGCCGCAGCUGCCUAGCGCUGUUAAUGUCAAGACUUUGGUCACAAUAACCGUGGGUGCCAAGUUCCUCUUCCGGAAUCGUCAAGUGCACGAGGACCCCGGUCCCGAGAACGACUACCACAUCGGAACGCCAAGUACAUGGAUACGCCGAGCUUCUCUCCGAAUGUGUGUACAAAUACCGUACCGCCGAAGACCUUGGAUGCUCGAACGAGUACCGAACGAAACGCCAAGCACCACUAUCGCCGAGUAUGACUAUGUCCACGAUGAUACGAGAACAACUACCGUCGACCCUCGAAGCCUCCGUGGACGUCAAGUCCCUCGCCGUGAUCCCGAACAUCUACGGAAAAUUGUGCAACUAAGAACGUGA
rnacentral:rRNA from 1 species